rnacentral:ncRNA from 1 species
GUCGAAGGAGCGGAGCACGGGUGCACUCACCCUAACGGCAUACCUUUCGCAUGAUGGGUCAACGAGGAAAUGGGAACAGUGGCUUAAGCUAUUAGGUGUAGGCGCUUUCCAGAAGUGGAAGAUUUACGUUCUUCCUAUAUAACCUGAAACCGAUCAAUCCAGACAUGAGAAGAUUGAAAAGAGCUCUAACAGGCCUUGGAUGAAUGAACCCACAUAUGUGGCAAAAUACGGGGAUGACUUGUGGCUAGGGGUGAAAGGCCAACCAAGAUCAUAUAUAGCUGGUUUUCCGCAUAAUCUAUUUCAGUAGACCGUAUGAUGUCGAUGGCCCGAGGUAGAGCACUCUAUGGACAAGGGUGGCCCCCAUUUCGCUUUAGCAACCUAGGGAAACUCUAAAUACAGGCCAUAAGCAUUAGUACCGACAGACUGAUUGGGUGCUAAGAUCCAAGUCGAGAGGAAAACAGCCCAGAUCACUCAUUGGAAAAGGAAGUGAUCGAGCGAUGACGACCAGGAGGUGGGCUUGGAAGUAGCCAUCCUUUGAAGAAAGCGUAAUAGCUCACUGGUCUAGCUCCAUAGCAAUAAAAAUAUCUCAGGGCUCAAGUGAUUCACCAAAGCGACGAGACCUUGAAAGGUGCUUUUUCAAGUGUCAGUAGCGGGGCAUUAUGUCAAUUGGGGAAGGUUUUUGGUGACAAGACCUGAAGAUAUCAUAAGUGAGAAUGCUAAC